GCCCGAAGCCGAUUAUCUAACCUUUUGGAAGAAGUCGUCGAAGGUGGAAUCAAUAACUGGGGUGAAGUCGUAACAAGGUAGCCGUAUCGGAAGGUGCGGCUGGAUCACCUCCUUU
rnacentral:rRNA from 2 species